UACGUAGGGUGCGAGCGUUAAUCGGAAUUACUGGGCGUAAAGCGUGCGCAGGCGGCUUUGCAAGACAGAUGUGAAAUCCCCGGGCUCAACCUGGGAACUGCAUUUGUGACUGUGUGGCUAGAGUACGGUAGAGGGGGAUGGAAUUCCGCGUGUAGCAGUGAAAUGCGUAGAUAUGCGGAGGAACACCGAUGGCGAAGGCAAUCCCCUGGACCUGUACUGACGCUCAUGCACGAAAGCGUGGGGAGCAAACAGG
rnacentral:rRNA from 1 species